rnacentral:tRNA from 1 species
UACAUUGUGGUGUUUAAGCAUGAAAGAUUUUGAUUCUUUAGGUAUAUUUAGUUUAUUCAAUGUAA